UACGUAGGGACCGAGCGUUGUCCGGAAUCAUUGGGCGUAAAGGGCGUGUAGGCGGUUUUGUUAAGUCAUGUGUGAAAUCCCUCGGCUCAACCGGGGAAGGACGCAUGAAACUGGCAAGCUAGAGUACCAAAGAGGGGGGUGGAAUUCCCGGUGUAGCGGUGAAAUGCGUAGAUAUCAAGAGGAACACCGGUGGCGAAGGCGGGUCUCUGGGCCGAUACUGACGCUGAGGAGCGAAAGCGUGGGGAGCAAACAGG
rnacentral:rRNA from 1 species